AGAAAUGCACAAAAGAAAAUGAACUGAUUUUCUUCUGACCGUAAUCCUGUUCUCUCUGUAGCAGCUUAAGACAUUACCUGCGAUACAUGUUUUGGUUUUUACUCUUAUCAAAGUUCAAGUUUUUUGAGUAAUUUAAGGAUGCUGGUGUUUGCACACUGAUAAAUGUUAAUUUUGAUGCUCUUGGAAUUGUCCAGUUAGAGUUAACAUGUGGUCCGUUGGUGAUGCUUCUGCUACUUUCACAGUUGUACAAUGUUUACUAGUUAUCUCGGCAAAACUCUCUUGCUUCUCCAUUUUUCCUUUGUUUAACUCCAAAAAAUCCAAUCCCAUAAGUGGAUCAAGAAAGACUGAACUGUAAGGACGCUUUGAAGUUGUUUCUGCUGUCAUACAUAGAUGUUAAAUUGCAGCUUCCAGUAAUAGUAGGUCUACAUUUGGGUGAAUUGUUGUUUAGUUGGUUUUCUCUGGCUUUAGAGUCCUAUUAUACUUUCUUGAAAUUCUGUAAGUGUAAGAAUUUCAGAAGGGAACAUAGAUAUUGUUUAAUAAUUUUCAGGAAGACUGGAGAGCUUUGCGUGGUGCACUUGUUGGUUGUUUGGCACUGUUGAGGAGAAAAACUGAUGUUGGUGUGGUAACUGAAAAUGAUGCAGAAGCUGUGAUGAAAUCAUAUAUGCAAUAUCUGCAAGUGCAGUCCAUGGGACAGCAUGACCGGAAGCUCUGCUUUGAACUUCUGGAAUGCCUACUGGAGCGGUACCCUAAUGCUGUUCAGCCACUGGGCAAUGAACUUUUCUAUUCAAUCUGUGAAGCCAAAAAGUGAAGAUAUUGGGGUCAGCAGGGAUGAGCUCUCCAGGGCAUUACUGCUGGCAUUUGCUGCAACACCACUUUUUGAGCCAUUUGCUAUUCCAUUGCUGCUUGAUAAACUCUCUUCUUCUCUGCCAUCAGCAAAGGUUGAAUCCUUUAAGUAUCUUGGUUACUGUGCUCCGAUGUAUGGAUCAGAUAGGAUGGCCAAACAUGGUGGAGCUCUUUGGUCUUCGGUGAAAGAUGUUUUGUAUACCUCACCAGAGUCUGCUUUGUCUGUGGAGUCAGAGUCAGAUGGUGGUAUGAUUUUUGAGGAGAGUGAUAUUAUGGUUGAAGCCCUGAUCCUUUUGGAGGGGCUUAUGCAGCAAAAUAGUGAUUUGCUCUUAGAUAUGAUCCUUGGAGAUGAGGACAUCAAUAACUUCAUCUGCUCAUUUCUUAAGCCUUGGGAUAUUCAUGAUACUCCAUUGCAACUAAGACAACAACUUCAUUCAGUAGGUCGCCUUCUUGCUGUCUCUGCCAAAUCUUCCAUGGCUUCCUGCAAUAGAGUGUUUGAAAAAUUCUUUCCCCAAAUGAUGGAGGCUUUGGGCUGUUCAGUUGGAAAUCAUUCUGAUGAGAGUUUUGCAACUGAAGAUCGUGCUCUUUCUUCUAGAUUUAAUUAUGGUACCUUAUACCUUUGUGUCGAACUCCUUGAUGCAUGUAGAUGUUUGGUUUUGGGUUUCAAAGAAUCUACAUCCUUUCCUGAUUUUAUACACGAGAAGUGGUGUUGCAUGCUGCAUGGCUUUUGCAGAUCAUUAAUCAACAUCUUCUUUUCUAACUUAGAAGCUGUUUCUGGAAAUGCUCAAAGCUCUUUCGCUUAUACUGGAGUAAAGGGUUUGCAGCUUUUGGCUACAUUUCCUAGGAGCUUCGCUCCUGUCUCAUUGUUGCUGUUUGAGAACAUUCUGUUGAAGUUGGUGUCAGCCAUCACUUCUAACUUCGACAAGAAAUUCUCAUGGGGGCUGGAAUUAAAGGCAUUAGUGGAGAUUGGCUUAUAUAUUGAAGGGUAUCAAGAGUCUGAAAAGGCAGCAACUUUUGCUAGGAUUGUUGUAGACAAGUUUGUGUCUUGGAUAUCUUCUGAUGAGCCUGCUAUGCCGCUAUCUCUCAAAAUGCAAGCAAUUUGUGAAACUGGAAUGACAGGAAUUAGCAAUAUGCUGAGAAUUGUCCAAGGGAUGGAAAAGGCUAUAUCUGCCAAAUUCACUCAGGCUUAUGUUGAUGGUAAUUUUGAGUCAGUGGAAUUGGUAAUCAAGGUUCUGGAGUGCUAUAGUGCUAGGGUACUCCCAUGGUUUGAAAUGAAUGGAGGUUCUGAGGAAGUUGCUUGGAAUUUGGCAGCUAUUAUUUGGGACAAGAUUGACAAUUCUAGUUCGGUCAAUCUCACUGUUCAAAAUUACGAACUUCUUGGUGCAGCUAUGACAGCAAUGAAACAAGCAGUUCGACGCUGUUCACAGGAAAGUCAGGAAAAGAUUGUCAAUAGAGCCUUUAGGGUACUAUCAGCAAGCACCUUGUUUCCUCUGAAAGAUUCACCAUUUGCCACUUCCUUGUCCAAUUCAGAAGACUCAUACCUUAAUCAUCAUGUUGACAGAGUUUCAUGUAGAGAUGAAUGGAUCAUUUCACUGUAUGCUUCAGUUGUUAUUGCACUCCGUCCUCAAACACACGUCCAAAAUUUAAAGAUGGUUUUACAGUUAUUCAUAAUGGCCCUUACAAAAGGUCAUAUUCCUUCGGCUCAGGCAUUGGGUUCUUUGGUUAACAAAUUGCCUUCAAAAACCAAUGAAAGGCAUUUGUCACAAGAAUAUGGUGUGGAAGAGGCAAUAGAUGUGAUACUAACAAGUAGCAUAUGGAAUUUCUGCCAGAGUAAUACUCUCAGAAAAUGCUCUUUGUUUGGUGGUGGCAAUGAGAUACAUAAUACUAAGUGCCUUGCUGGUUUAAAUCAUACCUCAGUUCACAUUUCUGCAAUUGUUGGACUGGCUUGGAUAGGAAAGGGAUUGAUUAUGCGAGGUCAUGAAGGGAUAAAGGACAUCACAAUGACUUUUUUAGGUGUCUUACUUGAGAACACCAAUAAUGGGGAUUUUCCAGAGUCAUGUGAUCCAAUUGAAGGCAAAGAGCAAGUAGUGAUCCCUCUAAUGAAAUCUGCUGCUGAUGCAUUUCAUAUUCUCCUGAGUGAUUCCGAAGAUUGUUUGAAUAGGAACUAUCAUUCAGUGAUACGGCCACUUUACAAGCAACGGUUUUACAACUCUGUUAUGCCCCUUUUAUUAUCUUCGACAAGGCAAUCUAAUUCAAUAAUAACUAGAUCCAUGCUAUUCCGAUCAUUUGCACAUGUAAUAUCAGAGACCCCUCUGUCUGCUAUGAUAAGUGAAGCUAAUAAGCUCAUUCCCUUGCUUCUAGAUAGCUUGUCCACCUUGACUGAGGAUGUUAUGCAUAAAGAUGUCAUCUACAAUGUCAUUCUAGUCCUAUCUGCAAUUUUGAUGGACAAAAAUGGACAAGUAGCUGUUUUGGAAAAUGCACAAGCCAUAAUUAACCAGCUUAUUGGGCUUGCGGCGUAUCCUCAUAUGAUGGUAAUUCGAGAGACAGCAAUUCAGUGCCUUGUUGCAAUGUCUGAACUGCCUUAUGCGAGGAUUUAUCCAUUGAGAACAAAGGUUUUACAAGCUAUAUCAAAAGCCUUGGAUGAUCCAAAGAGGGCUGUCAGACAAGAAGCAGUCAGAUGUCGCCAAGCUUGGUUUGGGCAAUCAAAUAAAUGAUGGUGUUCUUUUCCUUCUUCAAUAGUGAAGGUUAUAAUUAGAUUUUGCUCACUGGCAGCUGAUGUUUUUGGACAGGGCAUCAAUUGCCUCAAGAAGCCUUCACUUUUGAAAUACUAAAUAACAUCGAGUUCCAAGGCUUGUGAGAUAAGGGAAGAUGAAGAAGUACCAUUGUCAUGCUAUACUAAUCUUUCUUGGUAGCUGAAACUGGAAACUACUCAGUCAUGCAUCUCAAAUUGCAGCUUUCUUAAGCAAGUUGGAGUACCUUCUAGUCAACAAUAGAGGACUGCAGGGAUAACGCAUUCUUCAUCUUGCCUGCUGUUCGGAAGUGUAGAUGAUUUUUUGCUUUCAAUUGAGGCAGACAAGUGAUUGUCCUAAAUUGUUAGCUAGUGUCAACAUUGCCAUUUCUUGGUCACCCUUCGGAGUAAUUGGAGGAUUUACCAUGUCCUUGGUAGUUUGAGACUGACAUAUAUUGCUCUGAUAAAAGUGUUUCAAGAGGUCUCCAAGUUUCUGAAGCCGCUAUAUAUGCAGCUUUGUUGCUGAAUAGUUCUAUUGGAGAAUGAUAUCUCACCUUAAAAUUCACAAGGUACAGCAAUCAUGACCAUGUAAACUUAUUGCAAUUCCUCAACAUAACAGGAAACAGCGAAAGAAGAAAAUGACUGCAUCUUAUUCAGUUAUGUUCGCAGUGUCAAAGUUCUUUUCAAUAUUAACUUUCAGUCGUCCUUUUAGCU